rnacentral:rRNA from 1 species
GUGCACCAGGCGCGAAACCUCCGCAAUACACGAAAGUGUGACGGGGCCAUCCCGAGUGCCGUCCGCUGAGGACGGCUUUUCCCCAGUGUACACAGCUGGGGGAAUAAGGAGAGGGCAAGCCUGGUGUCAGCCGCCGCGGUAAUACCAGCUCUCCGAGUGGUGGGGACGCUUAUUGGGCCUAAAACAUCCGUAGCCGGCUGGGCAAGUCCUCCGUUAAAUCCAACGAUUCAAUCGUUGGGCUGCGGGGGAUACUGUCCAGCUUGGGGGCGGGAGAGGCCGACGGUAUUCCCGGGGUAGGGGUGAAAUCCUAUAAUCCCGGGAGGACCACCAGUGGCGAAGGCUGUCGGCUAGAACGCGCCCGACGGUGAGGGAUGAAAGCUGGGGGAGCGAACCGGAUUAGAUACCCCGGUAGU